rnacentral:tRNA from 10 species
GAGGCUGGACGUCAGGGGUGUUCGAGACCCCUGGGACCAAAUGUGAGAGUGUGUGGAACGGGGGGGUUAAUAUGUGGAAAUGAGAGGUGCUGGGUAAAAUAAGGCUGAGACCUACUGGGCUGCAUUCCCAGGAGGGUAGACAUUCUAAGUCACAGGAUGAGACAGGAGGUUGACACAAGAUACAGGUCAUAAAGGCCUUGCUGAUAAUGGUGUAAAGAAGCUGGCCCAAAACCACCAGAACCAAGAUGGCAAUGAGAGUGACCUCUGGUCAUCCUCACAGCUCAUUACUCUAGUUACAGUACAUUAGCACACUAAAAGACACUCCCACCAACACGAUGACAGUUUAUAAAUGCCAUGGCAAAGUCAGGAAGUUACCCUAUAUGGUCUAAAAGGGGAGGAACCCUCAGUUCUGAGAAUUGCCCACCACUUUCCUGGAAAACUCAUGAAUAAUCCACUCCUCGUUUAGCAUAUAAUCAAGAAAUAACCAUAAAAAUGGGCAACCAGCAGCCUUUGGGGCUGCUCUGCCUAUAGAAUAGCCAUUCUUUUAUUCCUUUACUUUCUCAAUAAACUUGCUCUCACUUUACUCUUUUUUUUUUUUUUUUUUUUUUCAUGGAGUCUCGUUCUGUCGCCAGGCGGAGUGCAGUGGCACGAUCUCGGCUCACUUCAAACUCCGCCUCCUGGGUUCAAGCAAUUCUCCUGCCUCAGCCUCCUGAGUAGCUGGAAUUACAGGCAUGCACCACCAUGCCUGGCUAAUUUUUGUAUUUUUAGUAGAGACGGGGUUUCACCAUGUUGGUCAGGCUGGCCUUGAACUCUUGACCUUGUGAUCUGCCUGCCUUGGACCUCCCAAAGUGCUGGGAUUACUGGUGUGAGCGACCAUGCCUGGCACUUUACUCUUUAUGGAUUUGACUCAAAUUCUUUCUUGCAUGAGAUCCAAGAACCAUGAUGUCUGGAUCAAGACCUCUUUCUGAUAACAGUUUGGCUGUGUGUCCCCACCCAAAUCUCAUGUUGAAUUGUAAUUCCCAAUGUUGGGGGAGAGACCUGGUGGCAGGUGAUUGGAUCAUGAAGGUGGAUUUCGUCCUUGCUGUUCUUGUAAUAGUGAGAAGGGCCCCUGGCAGGACCUUGAGAACAGCAAUUGAUCUGCCCCACCCUGGAGAACAGGGGCCGUAAAGUCUUAUCAGGGUCAUCAUGCCACCAACCCUUGCCACCCUCGGAGAACAGGAGCCCGCAAGACGGAGUUUGCUCCAUUACCCAGGCUGCAUUGCAAUGGCGCGAUCCCGGCUCACUGCAACUUCCACCUCCUGUGUUCAAGCGAUGCUCCUGCCUCAGCCUACCUAGUAGCUGAGAUUACAGGCGCCUGCCACCAUGCCCGGCUAAUUUUUGUAUUUUUAGUAGAGAUGGGGUUUCACCAUGUUGGCCAGGCUGGUCUCAAACUCCUGACCUCAAGUGAUCCACCUGCCUCGGCCUCCCAAAGUGCUGCGAUUACAGGCGUGAGCCACCGUGCCCGGCCGACCUUGGAUUCUUAGAUAUAACACCAAAAGCAUGGGCAAUGACAACAACAACAAAAAGAUAAAUUGUACUUCAUCAAAAUUAAAAUCUUUUGUGCAUCAAAGGACACUAUCAAGGGGCUGAAGAGAUCACCACAGAAUGGGAGAAAAUGUUUGCGAAUCAUAUAUCUGGUAAGGAUUCAUAUACGUAAUAUAAAAAGGACUCCUUCAAAUCAACAACCAAAACCCAAACAGCACAAUUUCAAAAUGAGCAAAGGACUUGAAUAGACAUUUCUCAAAAAAAAAAAAAGAUGCGAAUGACUGACAAGCACGUGAAAAGUUGCCCAACCUCGUUAGUCAUUACAAAAAUGCAAAUGAAAAGAACAGUGAGAUACCUUCUUACCUCCACUAGGAUGGCAAUUAUUAUGCAACUAAACAAAACAAACAUGAAGAAAACAAGUGAUGGGAAGCCUCCCAUGUUGCUGGUGGGACGGUAAAAUGAUGCAACUGUUGAAAACAGUUUGUUUUUUCUUAAAAGACGCGGAAGAAUUGAAAACAGGAACUGAAACCACACUCGUGUUCACUUUGCUAGUAGCGUUAUUCAUAACAGUCAAAAUGUGGAAGCAACCAAGUGUUCCUAAACAGGUGAACAGACAAACAAAACUCAGUCUAUCCGUACAGAGAAAUGCGAUUCAGGAAUGAGAGCCCGACGCAUGGGUGAACCUUGGGCACAUCACGCUGAGUGACAUGAACCUGACACAGAAGGACACGUACUGUAUGAAUCCACUUCUAUGAAAUAAUUAGAACAGGCAAAUCCGUAGAGACUGAAAGUAGAUGAGACACGUGACCAGAGGCUGGGGGGACGGAGGAAUGCAGAGUUGCUGUUUAAUGGGGACGGAGUUUCUGUCUGACGGAUAGAAAGGAUUUUGGAAAUAGUGGUGAUGGUUACACAAUAUUGUGCAUGUAACUAACAUCAUUGAACUGCACACUUAAAAAUGAUUAAAACAAAAAGAGUUCUGUUACGUCUGAUCCUUUGCCACGAUUUUUAAAUAGCGCCUGCCCCGUGGUCAGUGCCUCCUGUGUUGGCCGCAAUGCUGUGCUCCUCACAGCUGGCGCUGACCGCUAUUUCCUGCUCUAGGGCGGUAGGCGGCAUCUGAGAGCAUGAACAAAAUGCCCUACCCAGAAGGAGCUACGUCUUUGUUGGGAGACAGAAAAUAAACAGGAUACAUAAAUAAACAACACAUGGAUUAAACAGUGCCAAGGGCGGGGCGCGGUGGCUCAUAUCUGUGAUCCCAGCACUUUGGGAGGCAGAGGCGGGCGGAUCACUUGAGGUCAGGAGUUCGAGAUCAGCCUGGCCAACAUGGUGAAACCCCGUCUCUACUAAAAAUACAAAAAUUAGCCAGGCGUGGUGGCGGGCAUCUGUAAUCCCAGCUACUCGUGAGGCUGAGGCAAGAAAAUAGUUUGAACCCAGGAGGCAGAGAUUGCAGUGAGCAGAGAUCACGCCACUGCACUCCAGCCUGUGUGACAGAGCGAGACUGCGUCUCAAAAAACAAAAACAAAAAACAAACAAAAACAGUGCCAAGGACAGAGCAGAGCGGAGAGAGGAGAAUAAACGAGGGGGCAGGUCCGCGGUGGGGACGCAGUCAGGUGCAGGGCAGGGCCGUGGUCUGGCAGGAGCUGGCCCACUCAGGACACAGGAGGCCUGGGUGGCUGGGAGAGCCAGGGGGGCCGAGGAGCGGGCAAGGCUCCCUGGGCUGCUGUGGGGCUGGGGAGGGUGUGAGGGAGGGAGACGUCCGGCUCUCCUGAGGGGAAGGGAAUCAGAGAGGGGCCACGCUCUGCACAUGCGUAAAAAGGGUGGAUCCCAUGUGGCGUGUGAGAUGAGAAGGGCUGAGGCAAGAGGAGGGAUGGAAGUGGGGAACUAGAGCGAGGAACAGGGUUUGCAGGUAACGCCCAAGGCCCAGGUAUCCUAGUUUGAGAAGCCUAUUUACCAGGGAGCUGGGAUGGCCGGGACCAACCCGGGCAGCAGCCGUGCAGCCCCUCCUAGUCACCACCCCCAGCCCAAGGAGGGACAGGUGAGGACUUCAAAGGGCCAAGCCCUCCAGCGUCCUCAUCAGAAGCUCAGGUGAGGGCACACAACGUGAAUUUACCGUUGCACAGUGCAAGCUCCAGCAAGUGAGGCUCAGCAGUGCCCUUGCAGAAGGAAGUGUUUUCCCCCAGCCUUGUCCCCG